AAACAUUUUGGAUCUGGAAUAGCUAUUCACAUCUCUGGGCCACCCCUACAUGCAUCCUCUGUCAUAAGCAGAAUUGGUUUUUUUUAGCAUGCUUUUCCCCAUGGCAACCACAUGCUCAAUUGUUGCUGAACAAUCAUGACAUCAAUCAUGUUCACAUUCAGUACCUGGUAAAGCCAAAGCCUGCUUUUCUCCUUCUGCUGCUAGGAAGGGAUUUAAAGAGCCCUUUUCCAUUAAUCUUGGCUAAGGAAGAAAGGACUAACAGAUCUUGCAGCUGGGGGCUACAAGUAUAUCUACAUUAUCUGCUACAGAGUCCUAAUGAUGCAGUUUAGGGGACAGCAUGCAGUAGGCUGUUCUGACAGAGAAGAGAUGACUGAACAACAAAUCCCAAGUUCCACAGGACAGCUGGAAAUGCAACUCCAGGACCAGCAGCUACUGGAGAAGCUGUUGCAGCUACACACGGCCCUGCGGGAGCUGAAAGUGGAGAGUGCUGACUGGGAGAGCUCUGAUCCCAGCAGAAACGGGUUUGGAUCCAGAGCCCGCUCCAGAUCAGAAGACAUGGGCACCCUCCUUCCUCCAAGGAGAUCCCUCAGACUUGAGCCACGCCGGAGAAAUUCUCUCCCUUGAACAGACCCAUGGAAUCCCUGGGAGAAUCAUCUACUAUUUUAAACACCAUGAUCCGUUUGCCAGCAAAAUCCAAGAGGACUCUGUAUUGUUGUGGCCAGCUUUAAAAAAGAAUGAAAUUCUGUGACUGGGAAGCAGAUCACAUUGUGCAAAUGCAUCAUUAGCAGAAUAGAUGCACACAUGCACAGUUUAUUGUGCACACGCGAUUCAAGUUUCCAACUGUUUGGGACCUCACCUUUUCGCACAAGGGAAGAUGGUAGAAUUUGGAAGCAGUGGCCAUGCAGAGGUAUAGUAGUAUCAUCACAACAGCAAAAUCACUAGCCACGAGCUACAGCUUACAACAGUGUUGUCUGAGCCUGAAGAGAUGAGAGUGAACAUUCAGUUACAGACGGUCAUCAUUAUCUUCUCGUUUAGUUUAGCUAAAAGAGAAUUCCAGUGACGCGGGAAUCUCACCUUGAACUGAUUCAUGCAAGCCAUUUCUAAGGACUCUAGUGGGCAAAGACUACCAUACAAUUAGCUCUGCAUCUGUUAAAAGGCUCCAAAUCACAACUGAUCACAUCACACAUGUCAGGCUUCUCCAAGUCACUGUCCUCCAUGUAUGCUGGACGGCAAGUCCCAAUUUUCCCAGAGAUUUUCCUUGGGGGGAGUUUUUACUGGAAAAAAAGUCUAAGUCUGUUUAGACGUGAAUGAUGCUUUUGGUAUGUCAAUCGCUUUAUUGUAGACUGUGAACUGGAAAGCAGUCCAUUUUUUCUCAGAGAUGUGUUUUCCAGACAUUUAUUUUUCAAGCAGCAUGUUCAACAGUGAAUUCUUAAAUGUGUGGCAAAACUGCAAAUCUGUAGAUGAAGCCCAGUGACCUGGGCUUCUUUAAAUGGAUAACAUCUACAGUACCAGUGUGCGCCCCCCCCCCGCCGCCCUUUACAUCUCUCUCUGAAGUAAAAUAUUAAGUGACAUAUUCUUACUGUCACUAUGUACCCCAAAGUGCCAAAAAUGCACAAGUGCCGUG
ensembl:lncRNA